UUGACUGGAAUCGAACCUGAGACCCUUCAGUCUUCAGGUCGAUGCCCUAUCCAUUGAGCCAAAUCAGCGAGGGCAAGCAUACUUUUUUCUCAUGAGCAUUUACAGCCUUUAAUUUUGACAUUUGCCGAUAUAAUAUUUAAAUAUUUCACCCAGCAUACAAUGAAGGUAGAUAGCAAAGUUUCUCAAGGCUCUGCCUAUUUGACUGAUGGUCUGUUUGUGUUAUCUAAUAAUUAAGAAGGGUAUAUGUGAGAUUGUUUAAAUCUCAUAAAUUUUAGUUCAUUGAUUCAGCUGGCCUUAGUUAAGUAAUUGAUAAAAGUUUUUUCCUGUUCAAGUACAUUUGUUAAUAUGGUAAUCAAUUGUAAAAAAUCUUAGUCCCAAUACAUAUCUUUUUAACUACUCAAGUCUACCUCUAAUUAAGUUAAGCUAUUCAUUCUUUUGUGAUGUUGUAACCUUUUUAAAGGAGAAGAAACAUUUUUUCACUUCUCUAUAGAAAUCCCAUUUUAGACCUUUUAUAUACCUUUAAUUUAAACUGUGUGACUUUUGGCUCAGUUGCCCAUUUAUAUGGUUUCAAAAUCAAGAAAAUUUUUCCAAAAGAGUUGGUAUUUCUUAAAAAUUCCCCUCAAAAAAAUAGCUGAUUGACAAUUUCUUUAUUUACCUAAACAAUUAACAAGGUAUUUUCUAACUUGUCAAAAGUAAAAACUUGAAUACCAUACAUAUCUUAUGCAUGUCUUCCUCAAGUUGUUCCAGUGGUAAAACUAUUAGUGUAAAUUUAAUAUUGAUCUGUCUGUUAUCAGAACAAAAUGACAAGUUUUGAAUAAAGGGAAACACACUUGAAAGCAUCCCUCAUUUACUUGUAGUUCAGACUUCCUUAAUGAGCUGAAAAGUUCAUUGUUGUAUUAUUUAGGCAUCAGAAAAAUUAAAUUUAUAGUUUAUAAACUUGCCUAUUUUCUAUGCCAUGGUUGAGAAUAAUGAACAAUUUUUGCAAGUUAUGUUAACUCUUAUUUCACCAUUAGUUACGAUAUAAAUAUAGUUUAUUAUUUAUUUUCUUUGGUGUUGCUCCAUCCUCCAGAAUUUAGAGCAGUUUUGCUCAGCAGAGUGAAAAUGGCUGAUAUCUUAUAAUAACUAAGCUAGUAAUUAAAGAAUCUUCUAUUACUUCAGGGUGUCUUAUAAUCUUUAUGCUUUCAUUUGUUUAGUAUAACUGUUCUAAAGUUGUUGUUUUUUUAAAUAUAUUGUCAGAUGAAAAUGACAUUUUAAAUUCUAGAUCUUCAUUAACAUAUAAAGUAAUUUACAGCAAUAAUGAACUAUAUAUCAGGUUUGUGUAUUUGAACAUGAUCUGUUUUUUAAAAAAAGAACUUCAUUAAAAAGUUUAGCACAGUGUUACUAACAUUUAUUAUUAUUGUGAUUAGUUUAGAAGUCAAGUAUUACUGUGUUGUUGUUUUUUGUUUUGACUUAAUAGCCUUAAAUAUGUUACCUUUUUGAAAAGGUUAGUAGAUAAAAAUAGAUGAUGAUUAGGGGCUUUGUGGAAUUAAGUACUUAUAAUUAUGUAGACUAUUCUUUUUCUAUCUCAAAUUAGAGAAAUGUAAAUUAUGAUCAUGACUUUAUUUGUUAGUCUGUAAAGUAUAUUCUGAAUUUAAAACUAAGUAAGAAGACAGCAAGUCCUAGGAUUCAAUAGUAUAUACCAAAAAUAAGUCAUUUGAAAUGGGAAAAAGUGUUCUUGUUGUUGUUUUGGACAGUGCUAAUAGACAAUUAGAUAUGGAAGGAAUUUUGAUUUUAGAACUUGGGUUUUUAAAGUGAGAAAAUUUUAGACAGGCAGAUUUAUUAACUUGCUUAAUAAAAAGUUAGAUGAAAAUACCUAAAUUAGUAUUUCUGCACAUUUAAAAAUCCAUGAUCCCUUUUGUUUACAGUGGAUAUCUCACAAUAUCUUCUUUUUAAAUGUUGUUUAUUGAUAAUGUGAUAAUAAACCCGGGAAUAUGAAGUACAUGUACUUUUUCCUAUUCCUCCUAAGUAACUAAAACACCUGGACAUUAUUUACAAAAUAAAUGUAAAAAGACUGUGGAAGAUGGAGAGAACAUGGCAAAAUGACUAGGGAACUCAGGCUUCAAAGAAUAACAUGGUGUUGAGUUCCCUGUGUUUUCUUUUGUUUAUUUUUGCCUCAUUUACCAGUAUCCCAGAAGAGGAGUCGACAAAGCCAACAGCCUAGAAUCAUGAAUGGGUGCAGACAAAAAAGCUUGCAACAAAAAGUCUGCUCUCUAUUCAAAGGACAAAAAAUAAAAUAAGAAUUUAAAAAAAGAAGAAGGAAAAAAAUUUCAAAAGCUUUUAGAAAAUAACUUUCUACUAUAUCCAAACACUACAGAAAAUGCUGUGGCCCCAUCCUGAUUCACACAGCAAAGGCCAGAACUUCUGUCCUUUCCAGGCUAUAAUGAGGUGCUUCAACUUCUCUCCAGGGAUGGUAUCAGAAAAAGGCUGCGUAGACAGUGGGGACUUUGAUUCCCACUGGCUGUGAAUGAUGUUCCAUCCACUGCUGUGUCAGUGGAGAACACAUAGGAAAUAGUAAUGAGGCACACCUAACUUUUCUAGCCAGGGAGAUAUCAGGAGUGGUUCAUUGGAGGCCUACAAGUUCCAGCUUUGCUCAGCAGUAAUGAGGAGCCCUGUUGAGGCCAAGCAAGAAUCUUGGACUUCCACCCACCUGGCAGGAGUGAGAAAGUACCUCACCCCCCUCCUAGCCUACAUCAGAGGAAUCCAUCUAAAAUAAAAGGUUUAAGAUCUAUUAUCUCACAAUACUCAAUAUGUCCAAGUUUCAGUUGAAAAUCACUCAUCAUGCUAAAAGCCAACGAGAUUUAAAACAAAAAAGAAUCAACAGAUGCCAACAAUAUGAGAUAUGUUAAAAUUAUCUGAUAAGAG